UAGGGAAUCUUCCACAAUGGGCGAAAGCCUGAUGGAGCAACGCCGCGUGUGUGAUGAAGGGUUUCGGCUCGUAAAACACUGUUGUAAGAGCAGAAUGACAUUGAGAGUAACUGUUCAAUGUGUGACGGUAUCUUACCAGAAAGGAACGGCUAAAUACGUGCCAG
rnacentral:rRNA from 1 species